rnacentral:rRNA from 1 species
AUUGAACGCUGGCGGCAGGCCUAACACAUGCAAGUCGAGCGAGCGGCGGACGGGUGAGUAAUGUCUGGGAAACUGCCUGAUGGAGGGGGAUCACUACGGGAAACCGUAGCUAAUACCGCAUACCAUCAGAUGUGCCCAGAGGGUAUUAGCUAGGAGGUGUGGUAACGGCCUACCUAGGCGACGAUCCCUAGCGGGUAUGAGAGGAUGACCAGCCACACUGGAACUGAGACACGGUCCAGACUCCUACGGGAGGCAGCAGUGGGGAAUAUUGCACAAUGGACGAAAGCCUGAUGCAGCAAUGCCGCGUGUGUGAAGAAGGCCUUCGGGUUGUAAAGCACUUUCAGCGGAGAGGCGUUACCCACAGAAGAAGCACCGGCUAACUCCGUGCCAGCAGCCGCGGUAAUUC